rnacentral:rRNA from 1 species
UACGUAGGGCGCAAGCGUUAUCCGGAAUUAUUGGGCGUAAAGAGCUCGUAGGCGGUUUGUCGCGUCUGCCGUGAAAGCCCGGGGCUUAACCCCGGGUCGCAGUGGAUACGGGCAGGCUAGAGGUAGGUAGGGGAGAAUGGAAUUCCCGGUGUAGCGGUGAAAUGCGCAGAUAUCGGGAGGAACACCGGUGGCGAAGGCGGUUCUCUGGGCCUUACCUGACGCUGAGGAGCGAAAGCGUGGGGAGCGAACAGG